rnacentral:tRNA from 1 species
GGGCUUGUAGCUCAGCUGGGAGAGCGCCGCGUUCGCAACGCGGAGGUCGACGGUUCGAUCCCGUUCAGGUCCA